UGCAAGUAGAACGCUGAAGAGAGGAGCUUGCUUCUUCUUGGAUGAGUUGCGAACGGGUGAGUAACGCGUAGGUAACCUGCCGUGGUAGCGGGGGAUAACUAUUGGAAACCGAUAGCUAAUACCGCAUAAAAUUGAUUAUUGCAUGAUAAUUAAUUGAAAGAUGCAAUUGCAUCACUACCAGAUGGACCUGCGUUGUAUUAGCUAGUUGGUGAGGUAACGGCUCACCAAGGCGACGGAUACAUAGCCGACCUGAGAGGGUGAUCGGCCACACUGGGACUGAGACACGGCCCAGACUCCUACGGGAGGCAGCAGUAGGGAAUCUUCGGCGAAUGGGGGAACCCGUGACCGAGGCAACGCCGCGUGAGUGAAGAAGGUUUUCGGAUCGUAAAGCUCUGUUUGUAAGAGAAGAACGGGUGUUGAGAGUGGAAAGUUCACACUGUGACGGUAUCUUACCAGAAAGGGACGGCUAACUAC
rnacentral:rRNA from 1 species